rnacentral:rRNA from 1 species
AGGACGAACGCUGGCGGCGUGCUUAACACAUGCAAGUGGAGCGACGAACCAGGGCUUGCCCUGGGGCAGAGCCGCGAACGGGUGAGUAACACGUGGGUUACCUGCCUUGAUGACCGGGACAACCCGAGGAAACUCGGGCUAAUACCGGAUGUGCCCGCAAGGGGAAAGGAAGCUUCGGCCUCCGCAUCAAGAUGGGCCCGCGGCCCAUUAGCUUGUUGGUGAGGUAACGGCUCACCAAGGCUUCGAUGGGUAGCUGGUCUGAGAGGACGAUCAGCCACACUGGGACUGAGACACGGCCCAGACUCCUACGGAGGCAGCAGUGGGGAAUCUUGCGCAAUACGCGAAAGCGUGACGCAGCAACGCCGCGUGGGGGAAGAAGGCUUUCGGGUUGUAAACCCCUUUCAGUUGGGACGAAGCUUCUCCGGUGAAUAGCCGGAUGGAGUGACGGUACCUUCACAAGAAGCACCGGCUAACUACGCGCCAGCAGCCGCGGU